GGCAAUGCAUGCAUGAAAAAGUAAUGCAAAAGCAUGUGGUUUUCCUUCAUAUUCCCAGCUUCACAUGUAAUCACAAGGAAAAAAGUUGAAAACGCUUUUCCAAAGUUAAAAAGGAGAUGGGUCAAAAAUCGGAGUGACAUUAUCUAUUGCUGUUUGGAAAAGGGGAGAAAUCAGGCUCGUCUGGCUUGAAAAGCUUGGGCAUCUUCAAGCUGGUGGCGGCGGGAUCAACUAUCUGAACCCUCUGAUGGACUCCUCUCCUCGUAUUCGCAGCGAAUUUCGAGGCCAAGACGGUGGCUCCGAGGUGUUGGGCAUGGGCAUUCUCGGUCGUGUCCUCGUAAGCGCCGCUCGCUGUGCUGUCGUAAUCACCGUCCUGGCCUUCCAUCGACAUAUAGUAGAAGCUCUCUUGCAUGGCCAACUCCUUCACUAAUCUUCUCUUUACGUGCCUUCUCCAAGCAGCUUGUAUGAAGCAAGCACCCCAAGUCCUCCAUUGGUGAGAGUAGUACCUGAAGGCGUGCUGAAGUUUCUUGCUGUGGAGACGCUUGAACUGAUUAGCCACGUACUUGAGGUCUUCUGCUCCGAGCGCAAAACCUUCGACUUCAGAGAGUGCUCGCACGGUCCGAGUCGAAGAAGGAAGGUUUAGGCUCGGGUUCGGCAUUAAGGCCCAUGUAAGCAAUUCCUCGCCACAGAAGUCGCCGGGUCUAAGCGUGAUUGAGUUGAAGAAGCCAGAUCUCCCUCCGUUGGUGGUGGAGCUCUCCAAGUGUCCUCUAAUGAUGAACAGCAUCUCAUUUACGGGAUCUCCUUCUCGCAUGGUGUAGGUGCCUUGGGUACUCAACGAUGAGACUAGGCGUUCGCAUAUGGCGUCGAGAAGCUGAUCAUCCAUUUGUGCGAAAAAUGGGACCUGCACAUUAAAAUGAUAUACAAAUUGAGGAAUUCAUCAAUAGACAAUAGAUUGGCUACUCACUUGCAUCUGUUUGAGGUGGCAAUUUUCAUAACUAAUUAGUUGUUCCACAAA